CCUACGGGUGGCAGCAGUGAGGAAUAUUGGUCAAUGGACGGAAGUCUGAACCAGCCAUGCCGCGUGCAGGAAGACGGCUCUAUGAUUUGUAAACUGCUUUUGUACAAGGGUAAACCUGAAUACGUGUAUUCAGCUGAAAUUACUUUACGAAUAAGGAUCGGCUAACUCCGUGCCAGCAUCCCCGGUAAUACGGGGGAUGCGAGCGUUAUCCGGAUUUAUUGUGUUAAAAGGAUGCGUAGGGGGAUCGUUAAGUCAGUGGUCAAAUUGAGGGGCUCAACCCCUUCCCGCCAUUGAAACUGGCGUUCUUGAGUGGAAGAGAGGUAUGCGGAAUGCGUGGUGUAGCGGUGAAAUGCAUAGAUAUCACGAAGAACCCCGAUUGCGAAGGCAGCAUGCCGGAUGAAGACUGACGCUGAAGCACGAAAGCGUGGGGAUCGAACAGGAUUAGAUACCCGAGUAGUC
rnacentral:rRNA from 1 species